rnacentral:rRNA from 1 species
AUUGAACGCUGGCGGUAUGCUUAACACAUGCAAGUCGAACGGUAACAGGUCUAGCUUGCUAGAUGCUGACGAGUGGCGGACGGGUGAGUAACGCGUAGGGAUCUGUCUAGGGGUGUGGGACAACUCGGGGAAACUCGAGCUAAUACCACAUACGUUUUAGAUGUAAAAGUUUAAAGAAAGGCGGGUAGCAAUACCUGUUGCUCUUAGGUGAACCUGCGUUGGAUUAGCUAGUUGGUGGGGUAAAGGCCUACCAAGGCGACGAUCCAUAGCUGUUCUGAGAGGAAGAUCAGCCACACUGGGACUGAGACACGGCCCAGACUCCUACGGGAGGCAGCAGUGGGGAAUAUUGGACAAUGGGCGGAAGCCUGAUCCAGCAAUACCGCGUGUGUGAAGAAGGCCUGUGGGUUGUAAAGCACUUUCAGCGAGGAGGAAGGUUGUAUGGUUAAUACCCAUGCGAUUUGACGUUACUCGCAGAAGAAGCACCGGCUAACUCUGUGCC